AUCUAACAGCAUCUUUACACUUGCUGUUAUCUCUGCUUGAAUGUUUCUCCCUUAUAUAUCACUUGACAUAUUCCCUCACCUUUUUCAGUUUUCACCACCGGAUAUUCUAUCAAUUUAUUGCAUCUCUUUCCCACAAGAAAAUAAAUCUCCAUGCAGGUGUCUGAACCAAGAAGGCCUAAAUCUAUUAUAGAGACUGCAAGAAGAUCCUGAAUUUCAAGCCUGGUGUCAUUCAUUUUGUGUGAAUAAAAGAGGUAAGCAACUGUUUGUGACCAGAAGGGUGGAUUGUGUCAGACUGAAUUGUUUAGACAAAGAAAACAUGUAUUGCCUUCUUUUAAGACAUUGGGCUUGACCAUGUGACUUGCUUUGGCCAGUGGUUUAUGAGUCAAUGUUACUUAUGCCACUACUUGU